rnacentral:lncRNA from 1 species
AAUUCAAUGUGAAUGUAUUGAUUAGGCCACACCAAAUUAAUUAGUAGUUCUUUGGAAAACCCGCACCUAAAUUGCCGAAAUUAAAAUAAAAAAAUAAAAAUAAAUUUCCCGCACCUCACCUGCCAAAACCAAAAAAUAAAAUUAAAAAUAAAAUUCCCGCACGUCGAAAAUAAAUACACAUUUUCGACGAACUCGAUUCCGGUAUUUAAAAAAAAUCUUUAUCAAUUAAGCGUUUGAAAAUAUGCAGUGUUUGUCAUUUGUCAAGCAUAUUUUUGAUUCUGAUCAAAAAAUUGCAAAGAUGGAAAACGUGCUGAUUGUUUCUGUGGUGAAACAUUCAGACAAAAAAAAACAACAAGGCAUACAUAUUAAAAAAUACGGCAACACAAACAAAAUGUCGGACAUUCAGGGAACUAUAUCAAGAAGCCAUUGAACGAUGUAGCGAUGCACAAAGUGAGAUUAUUAAUAUUAAAACCAUACAAAUAAGUAAGUCGAACAGUUUCGAUGAUUCUAGUAUCGAAAUAUCUGACGAAAAUAUGGUAUGGUCAAUAUGUAAUGACCUAAACUUUAAAUAUGUGCAGUUCACAAUUGAUGACGAAUCUACUGCUACUAAAGAUGCAUCAAAUUCAAAACCAAGUGGAAUUAAUGCAUUUUCGGUACUCAUGAGCUCACAAAAUGAUGCAUCUGGUUGAAAUCUUAGUUAUAACAUAGGCUUAUAAAUGUAGGUUAUAUUUCCAUGUUGGUAUGUUUUGGUGUAAUUUAUUUUCUGAUAUUUAAUUGUAAAGUAGCACUAGCUAGAACCCCCAGUUUCUACUGUGCUUGGAUUGACUGGUUAGUGAUCCAUAUGCAUAAACACAAAACACACACCAUGCAGUUAUGUUACAAGAAGCUAGCUAGCAUACUACAGAGGGUGUCUAAGGACCAGAAGGUGCAUAUACUACAGAUGAAAGCAGUGCAUAUUAAAAGCAGAUAGCCAUAUAAAGUUCAUGCAUAAAAAAAUAUGUUCAAAAGUGUAUAUUUGUGCAGUGUUAAUUAUACAAACAACAAAACAAAAUGAAAAAGAAUGCAGAAAGUUGAAAUACAUAUAAAAAGGGAGAUAAUUUAAUUAUAUCAAAUUAUGUCCCCUUUCAAUUAAGUGAGUUGAAAAUUCAGUUGCUUCUUUUAGGUAAAAGAUAUAAAAAUUGAGAGAAAAAAAAAUAUCGCUCGCUCCAUAUUUCUUCAAAAUUUGAGGCGAAGAAUUUAAAAAUAUAAAUUUAAAUUUCGCUCGCUCGCCCCAUUUUUUUUGGGUAAAAUCUCAAAGAACUAUUAAUUAAUUUGGUGUGGCCU